GACGAACGCUGGCGGCGUGCUUAACACAUGCAAGUCGAACGGAAAGGCCCUGCUUUUGUGGGGUGCUCGAGUGGCGAACGGGUGAGUAACACGUGAGUAACCUGCCCUUGACUUUGGGAUAACUUCAGGAAACUGGGGCUAAUACCGGAUAGGAGCUCCUGCUGCAUGGUGGGGGUUGGAAAGUUUCGGCGGUUGGGGAUGGACUCGCGGCUUAUCAGCUUGUUGGUGGGGUAGUGGCUUACCAAGGCUUUGACGGGUAGCCGGCAUGAGAGGGUGACCGGCCAAAUUGGGACUGAGAUACGGCCCAGACUCCUACGGGAGGCAGCAGUGGGGAAUAUUGCACAAUGGGCGGAAGCCUGAUGCAGCAACGCCGCGUGCGGGAUGACGGCCUUCGGGUUGUAAACCGCUUUCGCCUGUGACGAAGCGUGAGUGACGGUAAUGGGUAAAGAAGCACCGGCUAACUACGUG
rnacentral:rRNA from 1 species